rfam:Pan troglodytes isolate Yerkes chimp pedigree #C0471 (Clint) chromosome 6, whole genome shotgun sequence.
GCCAGGUGGGGUGGCGCACGCCUGUAAUCCCAGCUACUCAGGAGGCCGAGGCAGGAGAAUCACUUGAACCUGGGAGGUGGAGGUUGCAGUGAGCCAAGAUCGCACCACUGCACUCUAUCCUGGGUGACAGAGCGAGACUCUGUCUCAA